GAGAAAUAGAAAAAUAAUAUCAUGAAAUAUAUUUUUUUGCCUUGGUUUCUAUAAUUUUAUUUCACAUAAGAAAUAAAAAUGAUGCCAAACAUGCUAUCAAGAAGUGCGAUGCAAAACAAAUAUGUUGGAAAAAGUUUCUGAAAUAAAUUUUAAAAUAUAUCAAAUAAUUUAUUAAGUACUAAACAAAUAGAAAAAAUAACUAACUGAGC
rnacentral:lncRNA from 1 species